CCUUAAGACCUGUGCAACGCCGGUUCAGGGCAACGCGCCAGGGUGGGAACACAGCAACGCACCCUGUUCCGGCGGGUGCCGCAGGAACCUUGAGGGGA
rnacentral:SRP_RNA from 1 species